AUAGCUGGAACUUUUAUAAAUAGUUUUAUCAGGUAAAGCGAAUGAUUUAGAAGCUCUGGGGAUGAAACAUCCUCGACUUAUUCUCAAACUUUUAAAUAGGUAAGAUGAUUGCAGUACUUGAUUGACUGUCAGUCUCUUGAAUAGUAAGUUCUUAGUGGGCCAUUUUUGGUAAGCAGAACUGGCGAUGUGGGAUGAACCAAACGUUAAGUUAAAGUGCCAGAAUAUACACUCAUAUAGAUACCAUAAAAGGUGUUGGUUGAUAUAGACAGAAGGACGGUGGCCAUGGAAGUUGGAACCCGCUAAGGAGUGUGUAACAACUCACCUUCCGAAUCAACUAGCCCUGAAAAUGGAUGGCGCUUAAGUGUAUUACUUAUACUUAACCUUUAAAUGAAAUUAACAUUUAUCAUUUAAAGAGUAGGAGGGCGUGGAGUUUAUUUAGAAGUCUUUGAGUGUAAACUUGGAUGAAAUAAACUCUAGUGCAGAUCUUGGUUGUAGUAGCAAAUAUUCAAGUGAGAUCCUUGAAGACCG
rnacentral:rRNA from 1 species